CGUUGUAACACAGGUUCCCGUACAAUCACCGAAGUUAAGUUACGUCAAGUCUGGGCAGUACUUAGAUGGGUGACCGUUUUGGAAUACUAGGUGUUGUAAG